GAUGAACGCUGGCGGCGUGCUUAACACAUGCAAGUCGAACGAUGAAGCCCAGCUUGCUGGGUGGAUUAGUGGCGAACGGGUGAGUAACACGUGAGUAACCUGCCCUUAACUCUGGGAUAAGCCUGGGAAACUGGGUCUAAUACCGGAUAGGAGCGCCCACCGCAUGGUGGGUGUUGGAAAGAUUUAUCGGUUUUGGAUGGACUCGCGGCCUAUCAGCUUGUUGGUGGGGUAAUGGCUCACCAAGGCGACGACGGGUAGCCGGCCUGAGAGGGUGACCGGCCACACUGGGACUGAGACACGGCCCAGACUCCUACGGGAGGCAGCAGUGGGGAAUAUUGCACAAUGGGCGCAAGCCUGAUGCAGCGACGCCGCGUGAGGGAUGACGGCCUUCGGGUUGUAAACCUCUUUCAGUAGGGAAGAAGCGAAAGUGACGGUAACUGCAGAAGAAGCACCGGCUAACUACGUG
rnacentral:rRNA from 1 species